rnacentral:rRNA from 1 species
UACGUAGGGUGCAAGCGUUGUCCGGAAUUAUUGGGCGUAAAGAGCUCGUAGGCGGUCUGUUGCGUCGGCUGUGAAAACCCGGGGCUCAACUCCGGGCCUGCAGCCGAUACGGGCAGACUAGAGUUCGGCAGGGGAGACUGGAAUUCCUGGUGUAGCGGUGAAAUGCGCAGAUAUCAGGAGGAACACCGGUGGCGAAGGCGGGUCUCUGGGCCGAUACUGACACUGAGGCGCGAAAGCGUGGGGAGCGAACCGG